UACGUAGGGUGCAAGCGUUAAUCGGAAUUACUGGGCGUAAAGCGUGCGCAGGCGGUUUGUAAGUCUGUCGUGAAAUCCCCGGGCUCAACCUGGGAAUUGCGAUGGAGACUGCAAGGCUAGAAUCUGGCAGAGGGGGGUAGAAUUCCACGUGUAGCAGUGAAAUGCGUAGAGAUGUGGAGGAACACCGAUGGCGAAGGGCAGCCCCCUGGGUCAAGAUUGACGCUCAUGCACGAAAGGCGUGGGGAGCAAACGAGG
rnacentral:rRNA from 1 species